UUUCCUACGGGAGGCAGCAGUGGGGAAUAUUGCACAAUGGGGGAAACCCUGAUGCAGCAACGCCGCGUGAGUGAUGACGGCCUUCGGGUUGUAAAGCUCUGUCUUCAGGGACGGUAAUGACGGUACCUGAGGAGGAAGCCACGGCUAACUACGUGCCAGCAGCCGCGGUAAUACGUAGGUGGCGAGCGUUGUCCGGAUUUACUGGGCGUAAAGGGAGCGUAGGCGGACUUUUAAGUCAGCGGUAAAAAUUCGGGGCUCAACCCCGUCCGGCCGUUGAAACUGGGGGCCUUGAGUGGGCGAGAAGA
rnacentral:rRNA from 1 species